AUUAGUGCUCCUAUAAAAGGGACUCCACAGAGCUCCCUGGCCCCUUCCACCAUGUGAGGAUACAAUGAGAAAAACUGUUUUUUGGAAGAGGA